GAGCCCCUUCAGAGUAUUGUUGCCAUACCAAAGCCACAUGUUGGUUGGUAUGUGACAUUUGAAGGCGAGUUUCUAGAUCCCAAACAAAAUACUGAAGCCUGUUUGAGCCCCUUCAGAGUACUAUUGUUGUCAUACCAGUCACAUGUUGGUUGGUAUGUGACAUUUGAAGGCGAGUUUCUAGAUCCCAAACAAAAUACUGAAGCCUGUUUGAGCCCCUUCAGAGUACUAUUGUUGUCAUACCAAAGUCACAUGUUGGUUGGUAUGUGACAUUUGAAGGCGAGUUUCUAGAUCCCAAACAAAAUACUGAAGCCUGUUUGAGCCCCUUCAGAGUACUAUUGUUGUCAUACCAGUCACAUGUUGGUUGGUAUGUGACAUUUGAGGGCGAGUUUCUAGAUCCCAAACAAAAUACUGAAGCCUGUUUGAGCCCCUUCAGAGUACUAUUGUUGUCAUACCAGUCACAUGUUGGUUGGUAUGUGACAUUUGAGGGCGAGUUUUUAGAUCCCAAACAAUAUACUUCCGCCUGUUUGAACCCCGUUGUCAGAGGCACUCCCUUGCUCAGUUCCUUUCCUAAUGUUUGCAGCUCUGGCACCGCAGUGUUACCAAUGCUGGGAGAUCAGGGACAGAUUUUGCACUGUUUUCUGUGUCUGGUUUACUGUUUUUAUUUUUGUGUGCUUAUAAACACACAUGGUGAUACGUUAUUGCUCCCUGUGAAAAAUUGUUAUUGAUAAUAUUAAUUUAAAUAUUUUGUAUCUUAAAGCCCGAGGGCAUUAUACUAGAAGAUGAAAGACUGACGUGUAAUUUGACCUUCAUUGAGUGGCUUGUGUGUGUGUGUGUGUGUGUGUGUGACUGCAAAGUGAUUAUAUUGUUAGUUUCAAAAGUGGUUCCUCCUUCAGGGCUGUGGCUGUGUGUGUGUGUGUGUGUGUGUGUGUGUGUGUGACUGCAAAGUGAUUAUACUGUUAGUUUCAAAAGUGGUUCCUCCUUCAGGGCUGUGUGUGUGUGUGUGUGUGUGUGUGUGUGUGUGUGUGUCCCCACAAGCAUAGGUGCAUUUUGUGUGUGUCCUGCACCGCCUUGUACAUGUAAGACAUCUGCCCUUAAUGUCAAGUAUAGAAGCAUUAAUUUAUAAUAUUAUAUAUACAGUUAAAAGAAAACCUUCCAUAUUCUUUCAUGAAGUAUUAAACAUGUACUGAGUUAAUGUCAGUCUUCAAGUUUUGCUCAACGAUAACAAGUUACUGCUUUA